UACGAAGGGGGGCUAGCGUUGCUCGGAAUCACUGGGCGUAAAGGGUGCGUAGGCGGGAUCUUAAGUCAGAGGUGAAAGCCUGGAGCUCAACUCCAGAACUGCCUUUGAUACUGGGAUUCUUGAGUUCGGAAGAGGUAGGUGGAACUGCGAGUGUAGAGGUGAAAUUCGUAGAUAUUCGCAAGAACACCAGUGGCGAAGGCGGCCUACUGGUCCGAUACUGACGCUGAGGCACGAAAGCGUGGGGAGCAAACAGG
rnacentral:rRNA from 1 species